CGGUGCGUCGUCUCCGGUGAUCUUGGUGUUGAGGAGGCACUUGCCGACGUAGGGCUCCUUGGGCCUGUACUUGUUGGUGACGACGCCCUCCUCCUGCUUCUUGGAGACCUUCUUGGGCUUGGCGUCCGCCUCCACGGCCGCGGUGUCGGUGGUAGACGUCUGCGCCCGGAUGACGGCCCGCGCGGCCCUCGGGCGGUAGGAGAGGAAGUGGGCGGCGGCAGGGGACGCCGGCGCCUUGGCGGCCGGCGAGGAGGAGAGGGAGACGGCCACGGCCGUGACGGCGGCCAUGGCUCGCGAAAAUCAGCUGUUGAAUGCGCGGGGAGGAGAAGGGAAGGGAGGGAAGAGCAGGACGGGGAAAUCCGAACUGGAGGAGGCGUGAAGAAGAAGAUGAGCUCCGGAC
rnacentral:lncRNA from 1 species